rnacentral:lncRNA from 1 species
AUGGUUUCCUGCAGGCAGCCAGGCUCCCUGAGGAGCGACACCACAGCUCCUGGCUCCCCUCCUGCAAGGCUCUGCCACCGAGGAGCCACGGCAGGCUGGACAGACGGCCAGCUGAUGCAUUUUCCCCUUGGCCCCACUGAUGCCUGCCCCCACACCGUGCUGGGGCCACCACCACCCUUGGAUAGAGCUUGGGGACAUGGGAUCAACAGGACGGGCAGCUAUGGGGCCCUCCACCCAGCUGCGCCCUGGUUGUGCCGCCCCCCCAAGCUGGGCACAGCCCCAGACAUGAGGCUUUCGGAGGCCAGCAUGGAGGAGGGGCAAGAAGAACGUUUUUGUUGCUGGCUCCUAAAACGCUGUUGCUGUUCUCACGGUGAGCAGCCACCUCCAGAGCCCUCCCGCCUGCAGGUCUCACCUCACCAUCCCCUGCCCCUUCUCAGACCGCUCCAAACCACCAGCAGCCACGGCGACCUGCCAGGCCUCCACUCCCGGCCUCCUCAGGGCUUCAGGGCCAGCCUGUUGUGUCACCUGCUGCCCGAGUCCCUCAGGACCCGAGCCACCAGCUCACCCCCGCUUAGGCCGUGCAGCACCUUGUGGGGGGUGGCGGCUGGAAGGGCAGGAGCCCCCCCCACACACAGCACACACACAGCCCGGCGCUCUCGGCUCCCAUCCCCUUCUCAGCGCCCGAGCCCCGGCUCCGUGGCGGCCGUUUCCAAGAGGCAGCGUGAGGGCUGGGUGUGCAGGCUUUCCCCAGCCAUGUUGCAGCAGCGCCCAGCGGCUCUGGCAGGCAGCGCUGCAAUAGCAGGCGGCUGCAGGAGCCGCCCGGCAGAGGGGCUCCGGUGGCAAAGGUCUGCUGGGCCCUUCGGAGGUAAAUGGAAAAAAAAAAAAAAACACAGCUGGACACAGCUGGACGCUUCCUCACAGGGCCCCGCUGGUCCCAGGGCUCAGGGGGUGACAAGCACUCGGCCACGGCUCCACUGCUCCUCCCCACCUCCAAAAUCUCACCACGUAACCACCUGGUACUGGUCCCCCCUCACCCAGCUCCCCCACAACGCCACCGCAGCAACCCCGAGCGUAAAUCGAUGGCUGUAA